CCUUCGUGUGGUGAAAUCAUAACACUGCAAUUGUGAUAUGCAGACUGCACGUAUGACCAAAUAACUUCAUGCACAACAUCUGCACUCAAACUCAUAGUUCUAUAUGAUUAUAUGUAAUAACACUGAGGAGAGUUUUGGUUCGUGAGGGCUACGUGGACAGGUCUGUUUCAUCAGAAAUCUUACUUUUUAAAUCUAUGCUAUUCUAUUAUUUCACUGAUCACCUCUUGCAGAAAACAUUUGUGUCUCAAACGGAAUGAUGCUCUGAACGUAGUCUUAUAUUCUAUUAAGUCACCUGUGAAUUGUUAUCCUUCUUAUUUAGCACGCUCUUCGUAAUCGCUUUCAAAAUUUCUUUCAUACUAUGAUGAUGCCCUGACUUUGGGGCAUGGGCUGUACUUUGUAGCUGGAAAAUGUCUGCAUUUGGUCCGUUGUGUUGUUGCACUUUAUCUUUUUCUCCAGCAGGUUUCAGGGCGGUCAAAGUUUUGGAGGAGUUCUCUCUGUUUUCCAGACAGACUCGCCCUUGUUAUGUUACUUUAUACUUUGUCCGGAAGCGGAAGUUUCUUAGUUCCAUGAAGUUCGGUGAAGUUUGGCAGAUGACACGGAGCAGCACCGAUUUUGAUCUUUUGAACUCCACAUAGUAGUGUUACAAUGGUAACUUGCCCCCUGCUGUAGUAACACACACGCUGUGUGCGUGAAAGAGCGGGAGCGAGCGAGAGAGAGAGAGCCAGCGCAGAUGGACAUGGAGCAGUGUGAACCACUGAGCGGGCGAGAGCACCCAUGGAAGGCUGCCACCAUGAAAAGGAGGGCCUGGGCACAGAGCCGAGACUCCUGGCAGGCGCCUGAGUCCCAGGACGACGGGGCUGAGGAGCCAGUGCCCGCUAAGUCCAUGGAAGAGAAGCCCUCCGCUGCCGAAGAGCCAGGUCGGUUACCCAACAAAAUAGCAAGCUGGCUCCAGGACUGCAGGUAGGGUGGUGCAACAUUAUGCAACUCCAUACAUUCAAAUGCAAAUGAUGCGAACAAUGUUCGCGGUUUCACUUGCAUUCUAAGUAGCCAGACAGGCUCAGUGAACAGAGAACCUCAAGGAUUCUCUUAAGCCUCUGGCAAGGAGAACUCUACCUCACUCUCUCUCUUUCACUCGGUCUCUCUUUCUCUGGCGGUCUAU
rnacentral:lncRNA from 1 species